rnacentral:rRNA from 1 species
GAUGAACGCUGGCGGCGUGCCUAAUACAUGCAAGUCGAGCGAACAGACGAGGAGCUUGCUCCUCUGACGUUAGCGGCGGACGGGUGAGUAACACGUGGAUAACCUACCUAUAAGACUGGGAUAACUUCGGGAAACCGGAGCUAAUACCGGAUAAUAUAUUGAACCGCAUGGUUCAAUAGUGAAAGACGGUUUUGCUGUCACUUAUAGAUGGAUCCGCGCCGCAUUAGCUAGUUGGUAAGGUAACGGCUUACCAAGGCAACGAUGCGUAGCCGACCUGAGAGGGGGAUCGGCCACACGGGAACUGAGACACGGUCCAGACGCCUACGGGAGGCAGCAGUAGGGAAUCUUCCGCAAAGGGCGAAAGCUUGACGGAGCAACGCCGCGUGAGUGAUGAAGGUCUUCGGAUCGUAAAACUCUGUUAUUAGGGAAGAACAAAUGUGUAAGUAACUAUGCACGUCUUGACGGUACCUAAUCAGAAAGCCACGGCUAACUACGUG